UCAGGUUUCUGUUCGGGACCCAAAUCUCUUCGUCUUUUUCAAUACCAUAGCAAUAAAUUAUUUUACGGAAGACUGCUUGUAGUGAUAGAUCUAAAUAUAUUUUUAUGUCCAUAUAAUAGCUUAGUACUAAAAUUUACCACUUAGUGUUGGUAUAAAUAGCAUCUCAUCAGACGAGUGGGUUUUUAACACACAAGCCCAUCUUCUCAGAAUCGUGACCUGUCAAGUCGGAGACACUUCACUAGUAGGACACACAGCAGGAAAGAAGGUAAACCAGCUUGGAAAGGGACACAAGAACCUCCUAAAAGCAGCACCCUAACCAUAAAAGUACCAGCUGUAUUCCACAACUAACACAAGGUUGAUGGCUGUAUUAAGAAUCCAUAUGAUCUAGCAUAAUGAAAAAUCUUUAAGGAUUAAUCAUGAUCUUCCCCA